rnacentral:sRNA from 1 species
UAACCCCUUACUGAAGUAAGGGGCUUGAAGUGCAAGCUUCAGGUCUCUUAUCUUUAGCAGGGAAGCUGGAGAAAUCCGGCUUUCAUUGUCUAGACUAAGCAAUCCAGUCGGCUUCGGCUGACUGGAUUGCUACGUUAUCCAUGUCAUCACACCCAAGGAUGAUGCCCAAGUCUUUGGCUCUGU